GCCCGCCUAGCUCAAUCGGAUAGAGCGUCAGACUCUUACUAGCAGGUUUGGGCGAUCUGAAGGCUGCGAGUUCGACCCUCGCGGUGGGCU